CUUCAGUAGUCUCUGGAAAGAUCUAUGAAGCAUUUGUAAUGAAGGUUAUCGAAAAAUUGCUCAGAAGUGGAUGACCAUGUCAACAUCAACAACAACGUGAAGCCCUCAGGAGACUAUGAAGUCAUAGAUGAGUCGUCAUUUGCUUUGAGAAGUAGAACUACAUUUAAUUAUCUUGGAGCAAUUAAGGCAUUUAUUUUGGGUUAGUUCUAUGGAGAACAAAAACCAACAAAAAUGUCUAAGCUGGAUUUUACAUCCUCAAGGAGCUUAGAGCUGAGCUUAUUAGAGUAGACAUGAAAAAAUAACUGUCAAGCAGGAUGGCAUUAUGCAUUGUGAAGAAAUCAGUUUUAUGUUUGUC
rnacentral:lncRNA from 1 species